rnacentral:rRNA from 1 species
GGUGAACGCUGGCGGCGUGCUUAAUACAUGCAAGUCGAACGGAAAGGCCCUGCUUUUGUGGGGUUCUCGAUUGGCGAACGGGUGAGAAUCACGCGUGUAACCCGUCCUUGUCUUUGGGAUAACUUCUGGAAACUGGGGCUAAUAUCGGAUAGGAGCUCCUGCUGCACGGGGGGGGUUGGAAAGUGUCGGCGGUUGUGGCUGGUCUCGCUGGUUAUGCGCUUGUUGGUGGGGUAGUGGCUUACCAAGGUUUUGACGGGUAGCCGGCAUGAGAGGGUGAACGGGCACAUUGGGACUGAGGUACGGCGCAGAAUGCUACGGGAGGCAGUAGUGGAGAGUAUUGCACAAUGGGGGGGAGCCUGAUGCAGAAACCCCGCGUGCGGGAUGACGGGCUUCGGGUUGUAAACCGCUUUCGCAGGUGAUGAAGAGGGCGUGACGGUAAUGAGUAAGAAAGCACCGGCUAACUACGUG